GUGCUCACCCUGGCCGUACAUAUCCUAAAAUUGGGACAAUACAAAGAAGAUUAUCACGGCCCCUGCACAAGGAUGACACACAAUUUUGAGAAAAAGAAAAGAAAAGA